GUCCAGAUCAACCAGAUAAAAAAGCAACCCCUUUAAAAAAAAUUUCUUUGGAAAGCAACUCAUAAAAUAUGAGUGGCUAACUUUCACACUCUGGGAUCGGUGGAUCCUUAAGACUAUUACAACUACCUUUCCAUAACCAGAAAGAUCAGUCCACCAGCUCCAAAUUCCAGACUUUAUUUCCACAUCACCUAAAACAAUACUGAGCUAGAGAUACAACCAGCUGGAUAACAGGAGCGAACAAAAGACUUACUGCCUUUACUGUCAACAGUAUAUCUCAACAGUUGUUCCUUGAAUUAUGGAUUACGGAAAGAUGAAUGGAACAUAUGAAAUGAUAUAGUUAGCAAAUCUUUUGAAUUGUUGCUUUCUGCAUUACAGACUCAUAUUUACUAAAGCAAAGAGGAUGAA